GGCACUUUGGCGGAGUGGUUAACGCGCUGCCCUGCUAAGGCAGUCCCUUCGGGGGCGUGUGUUCGAAUCACACAGGUGUCG